rnacentral:rRNA from 1 species
GGUAGUGUAGUUAAUAGCUGCAUUAUUUGACGUUAGCGACAGAAGAAGCACCGGCUAACUCCGUGCCAGCAGCCGCGGUAAUACGGAGGGUGCGAGCGUUAAUCGGAAUUACUGGGCGUAAAGACGCAUGCAGGUGGUUUGUUUAAGUCAGAUGUGAAAGACCCGGGGCGUCAACCUCGGAAUAGCAUUUGAAACUGGCAGACUAGAGUACUGUAGAGGGGGGUAGGAAUUUCAGGUGUAGCGGUGAAAUAGCGUAGAGAUCUGAAGGAAUACCGGUGGCGAAGGCGGCCCCCUGGACAGAUACUGACACUCAGAUGCGAAAGCGUGGGGAGCAAACAGGAUUAGAUACCCUGGUAG